GACGAACGCUGGCGGCGUGCUUAACACAUGCAAGUCGAACGGAAAGGCCCUGCUUUUGUGGGGUGCUCGAGUGGCUAACGGGUGAGUAACACGUGAGUAACCUGCCCUUGACUUUGGGAUAACUUCAGGAAACUGGGGCUAAUACCGGAUAGGAGCUCCUGCUGCAUGGUGGGGGUUGGAAAGUUUCGUCGGUUGGGGAUGGACUCGCGGCUUAUCAGCUUGUUGGUGGGGUAGUGGCUUACCAAGUCUUUGACGGGUAGCCGGCCUGAGAGGGUGACCGGCCACAUUGGGACUGAGAUACAGCCCAGACUCCUACGGGAGGCAGCAGUGGGGAAUAUUGCACAAUGGGCGGAAGCCUGAUGCAGCAACGCCGCGUGCGGGAUGACGGCCUUCGGGUUGUAAACCGCUUUCGCCUGUGACGAAGCGUGAGUGACGGUAAUGGGUAAAGAAGCACCGGCUAACUACGUG
rnacentral:rRNA from 1 species